GCACGGACGCUGCCACAUCGACUUCCUCUGCCGCGCUGACACACAGGCGAUCCUCGAGAAUGAAUGGGGCAGAGCGCAGCGUGCAGAUCUCCAGCCCUCGGCCGCAGGAAUCGCUGCACGCCAGCACCGCCAGCAGCAGGAGUUUUUAGAAGUAACAAGGGGACGAAUUCGGGCAGUACCUUUCUUUGUGGCAAGUCAAGCCUCGCGUACGAAUCGAGUUGCCUCUUCCCCUCACUGAGAGAUGGCUCAAUAUUUCCAGCCAAUCUGAACGGUGAAGCCGAGGUUUUAGUACCUGAAAAAGCACCAAGUGAAAAUUGCCAAAUACGAGCUUGUGGCAGGCACUAGGCAGGAGGGUUUGCUUUCCUCAGCGUAAAGUCAAACCAACGCAAGUUUAUAAGAAACCUAAAUCUUCAGCUAAGCUAACAUCUAGCAAUAAUUCUCUUUCACAAACCAAAGAAGUAAUUUCUUCCUCAAAACGUUACAUUAGGAAACAGGAAACAUUCCAGAAAUGUAUUUCUUCUAACACCAGCGUGAAAAACAGCACUGUGUAAAAAAGCACCGCAUCUCCAGACUUCCCGUGCAACAAAACACAGAACUACCACAAGCAGAUGAACCUAUCCGUCCCAAACUUACCAUAAAAGAACCAUCAAAGCAACUCUACGGAUCCGCUAUGCGACCAGAAGGGCAAUCCGGAGGAGAGGACGCGAAUUCUGAUUGGAUCAACACAUUGCAACACAGCAUUCAUACCUCCAUGUGUUUCACCUCUAAUUGAUUACUUCCUGGAUGACACGAUCCGAACAUUUUAACUUGAGAACUGCUUUGUCUGGAAAAAAGUGCUGUCACACUCUGAAAUCAAUGACACUAGGAAGCACAGCCAGGACAUGGAAUUGAUAUGCCAAGACCUCCUUUCCUUUGAAAGAUGACCUAUUUCAUAUAUGAAAUUGCAAUUGCAUGGUAUUCUACUAUUUGGUGCAUUUCAGCUGUUUUCACUUUUUUUGGAGGAAGUUACAACUUCAUCAGAAAUCUAUUAAAAGGCAUUUUGAUGGAAAAAAAUUGUUUGGUUGUGUUGAUAAAUUUUACCCUCAUUAAAUACUAAAAUAUUUUACAAAAUAUAUAUGUUAUGUACUCCAUAUACAUGAGCUCCAG
rnacentral:lncRNA from 1 species